rnacentral:rRNA from 1 species
AUUGAACGCUGGCGGCAUGCCUAACACAUGCAAGUCGAACGGCAGCAUGAUAGGAGCUUGCUCUUAUUGAUGGCGAGUGGCGGACGGGUGAGUAAUAUGUAGGAAUCUACCUAGAGGAGGGGGAUAACUUAGGGAAACUUAAGCUAAUAUCACAUAAGCCCUACGGGGGAAAGCAGGGGAUCGCAAGACCUUGCGCCUUAUGAUGAGCCUACAUCGGAUUAGCUUGUUGGUAGGGUAAAGGCCUACCAAGGCGAUGAUCCGUAGCUGGUCUGAGAGGAUGACCAGCCACACUGGGACUGAGAGACGGACCAGGCUCAGACGGGAGGCAGCAGGGGGGAAGAUUGGAAAAUGGGGGCAACCCUGAUCCAGCAAUGCCGCGUGUGUGAAGAAGGCCUUAGGGUUGUAAAGCACUUUCAGUGGGGAGGAAUGGUUUAAUGCUAAUAUCAUUGAACAUUGACGUUACCCACAGAAGAAGCACCGGCUAACUCUGUGCCAGCAGCCGCGGUAA